GCUCCUGCCCGCGGUCCGACCCGGUGGGGGAGUCGGAGAAGCCCCCUGCGAUGGACCAGGCUGCGGCCCCCGGGCAGGACGCGGCCCCCGGGAGCCGCGGCGCGCCGGCGGCGCCAGGUCGGGGAGGCGCCCUGGUGGAGUUCACGCCGACCCCCGGCGGCCUGGCCCUGGUGAGCCCCUACCACACCCACCGGGCCGGGGACCCCUUAGACCUCGUGGCGCUCGCCGAGCAGGUGCAGAAGGCUGAUGAGUUCAUCCGAGCAAACGCCACCAACAAGCUGACCGUCAUCGCUGAGCAGAUCCAGCACUUGCAGGAACAAGCAAGGAGGGUGUUGGAGGAUGCUCAGCGCGAUGCUGACCUGCACCACGCCGCUUGUAACAUCGUGAAAAAGCCCGGCAACAUUUACUACCUUUAUAAACGGGAAAGCGGCCAGCAGUAUUUUUCCAUUAUUUCUCCCAAGGAGUGGGGGGCAAGUUGCCCGCAUGCCUUCCUCGGUGCCUACAAACUGCAGCACGACCUGUCCUGGACGCCCUACGAGGACAUCGAGCGGCAGGAUGCCCGGCUGGGCCUGGUGCACACGCUGCUGGGCCAGCCCCUGGCCCUGCCCUCACGCGCCGAGGGCCCGGCCCCUGGGAACUGACUGCUCACCGGGGUGCCCACCGCUCUCCCAGCCAGGCCCGUCGCCUCCCUGUUGCCCCUCGGUCCCUCCGCGGGAGGUGCGAGAGGAUGGAGGGCAGGGAGCAGAGGGGCUCCUCGGAAGCCUGUGAGAGUGUCGGCUCGUCCCGCUGCCCACUUCCAGUCCUCGGAAGGUCAAUAAAGGCAGCGAGCCUCUAGCCAGGCUGCCCGAGACGAAAGAAAGAAGACGCGAGUUCCCGCCAUUCUAAAUGAUUCACACCCUCGUCUGGGACCCUCGCUGGGGCGCCGGGGUCCCCCCAGUUACCGAGUGCUGGCCAGUGUCCAUUCCUUUAUCGUCGUCUCUUCCCCUAGGCCAGAGCACUAGAGAAAAGAAGUAGGACUUCCGGGGCCGGAGCGAUAGCACAGCAGGAAUCAUUCCUGGCGGUGAUCAGAGGACCACAGAAGAUGCUGGGGAAUCAAACCUAAGUCAGCUGCCCGCGAGCAUCCUAUCCUCUGUACUAUCGCUCCAUCUCUCUCUCCAAUCGCCUCAUGAAAUGAAUCACCUUCAGGUUCUGGCUCGGAGAUUAGACACAACUGAGGAAGCUGACCCGCUUAGAAGCUCCUUUCUAAAGAGUUCACGCUUACGGGGAGAGUGUGGUGCAAGAGGGGCUGUGAUGGACGUGUGCACGCCCUCAGAGCACCAGCAGGGAGGGCUGCUGCCUCUGGGUGUGUCCCGCACUUCAAGCCCAACAUCAUGGGGCACUUCCCCAGCGAGCAAAGCCUCGGGACCUACUGCGUGUCUGAGACAUCAACCAGUUUCACCUGGAGAUAGCAUCAGAGUCCCCGGGCAGAGGACUCCGCCCGCCCUCCACGUCUCAUCCCUCCCGACCCCCUCUUCAGACUUUUAAUCCCUGUUGCAAACCUAGAUUUAUUGUUUUGUUUUUGGCUUCCCGGCUGUGCUCUGGCCUUACUCCAGACUCUGUGCUCAGGGAUCACGCCUGAUGGAACAGAGCCAGAGUUAACCUCAGGCAUGGCAAGAGUCUUAAUUCCUGCACUGUCUCUCCGGCCCCACCUCUUGUUUUUUUGACAGAGGAUUCGUUACACAAUUAUGACUACCUCAUAGGCCAUGGGCAACUAAACUCCGUCUCCAGCCCUUCUCCCCGCCCGGGAAGCUGUAAAGAUGGGACUGAGAGUUCUAUCUUCUAUUUGUGUCGUCUCCUUGGCACCCUCUGUAGGCCAACAGCACAAGACACCUGUAUCGCUCCACUUAGGGAAUUAGAACUUUCUCUUCAUCUCUGUCUCUGUCUCUGUCUCUCACUCUGGACCACACCUG